GUGUUUGAUGAAGCUGACAUGCUUCUCUGUGGAAGUUUCCAGAACCAAGUCAUUCGUCUCAUUAAUAUGCUGCGGUUCGAUGAGAAAUUACUGUCUCGGAAGAAAAAUUCUGUCCCCCAUCAACCCAUAGCAACGAAUCCUGAUUCUGCGCUUCCCUCUGUUUUGGAAGACGAUGAAGAAAUAGAAUCGGUUGCUUACAUGAGCAGUUUAGAUGAAGAGGAAGAUUCUGAGGAUGUUGAUCCCCCCCAUCAACCCCUAGCAAUGAGUCCUGAUUCUGCGCUUCCCUCUGUUUUGGAAGAAGAUGAACAAAUAGAAUCGGUUGCUUACAUGAGCAGUUCAGAUGAAGAGGAAGAUUCUGAGGAUGUUGAUCCUGC
rnacentral:lncRNA from 1 species